AGUUGAGACGGCCAUUCUCGCCGCUAUCCGCGUCAGACGCGGUGAUUUUAAUCACAAAGCAAAAGAUAAAAACGGUCAAGAAAAACUCUCAUCUCACCUCUAAUACAGCCUUGGGCUACCUUUAUCCGAGGCGCGAAUCUUUAAAGUGUACAAUGGACGAGUUUCGUAGUCCAAAUCUCCUUUGACGGACACGAUACCGCUGCUCGUAUUUAUUGCAAACGCAUCAUCAAUAUUUCCAUCUACUAUUUCAUACUGUCGUGGUAAAUAAAACAUGAUUAAUGACAA